UAAAGAUUAAUUGGUAAAGGAUGGGGAUGCGUCCCAUUAGCUUGUUGGCGGGGUAACGGCCCACCAAGGCAACGAUGGGUAGGGGUUCUGAGAGGAAGGUCCCCCACAUUGGAACUGAGACACGGUCCAAACUCCUACGGGAGGCAGCAGUGAGGAAUAUUGGUCAAUGGGCGUAAGCCUGAACCAGCCAAGUAGCGUGAAGGACGACGGCCCUACGGGUUGUAAACUUCUUUUAUAAGGGAAUAAAGUUCGCCACGUGUGGUGUUUUGUAUGUACCUUAUGAAUAAGCAUCGGCUAAUUCCGUGCCAGCAGCCGCGGUAAUACGGAAGAUGCGAGCGUUAUCCGGAUUUAUUGGGUUUAAAGGGAGCGUAGGCGGGCUUUUAAG
rnacentral:rRNA from 1 species